rnacentral:rRNA from 1 species
UAACAAGGAUUCCCCUAGUAACUGCGAGUGAAGUGGGAAAAGCUCAAAUUUAAAAUCUGGCGGUUUUGUCGCCCGAGUUGUAAUCUGGAGAAGCGUUUUCCGUGCCGGACCGUGUACAAGUUUCUUGGAACAGAGCGUCAUAGAGGGUGAGAAUCCCGUCCAUGACACGGACUCCCGGUGCUUUGUGAUACGCUCUCGAAGAGUCGAGUUGUUUGGGAAUGCAGCUCAAAAUGGGUGGUAAGCUCCAUCUAAAGCUAAAUAUUGGCGAGAGACCGAUAGCGAACAAGUACCGUGAGGGAAAGAUGAAAAGCACUUUGGAAAGAGAGUUAAACAGUACGUGAAAUUGUUGAAAGGGAAACGCUUGAAGUCAGUCGCGUCUUAUUUGACUCAGCCUUGCUUCGGCUUGGUGUAUUUCAAGUAGGAUGGGUCAACAUCGAUUUUGGCCGGUGGACAAGGGGUUAAGGAAUGUGGCACUCUUCGGAGUGUGUUAUAGCCUUUUCUCAUAUACAUCGGUUGGGAUUGAGGCCCGCAGCGCGCCCUUGUGGCCGGAGGUUCGCCUCACGUAACGCGCUUAGGAUGUUGGCAUAAUGGCUUUAAGCGACCCGUCUUGAAACACGGACCAAGGAGUCUAACAUGCUCGCGAGUGUUAGGGUGGAAAACCCUUGCGCGUAAUGAAAGUGAAAGUUGAGAACCUCCGCAAGGGGGUGCAUCGACGCCCGGCCCUGAAGUUUACUGACGGUGCUGCGGUAGAGCGCGUAUGUUGGGACCCGAAAGAUGGUGAACUAUGCCUGAAUAGGGCGAAGCCAGAGGAAACUCUGGUGGAGGCUCGUAGCGAUUCUGACGUGCAAAUCGAUCGUCAAAUUUGGG